ensembl:lncRNA
CUUAGCUAACGUUAGCUACAGCUUGAUGAGUUGAGUCAUUUAACACAGCAGGAGAGAACGCGACGUUGGCCAGCUAGCUAAAGCUCUGGUGAAAAAUGAUUAGCUAACGCUACCGUUUUUGAGGAGGUAGAUUUUGAGGUGAGGGGACUGACGAGGCAGAAGGUUGUUUUUACGGGAGACCCACAGGUCGGAAUGGUUGAAGGGCACACUGGGGGAACAUGGUAGUCAGCGACAAUGGAAACCUUUCAACUUUUCCUUGCAAACGACCACCGGGUCAAAGACGUCCUUACACUGGAUUAAUUGGGCCUUGCAAUAUUGAAUCCUGCGUCGUCUCCUGCCGUACAUCCAUUGAGUCAUAUCUUGGUCAGGUUUUUUUAACAUGUACGGCACCUUUUGCAACUCACUAAUCAUACUUCAAACAAUAUGAAUGAAAGAAAUGACACACAGAUCAUUCACAGUUGUCGGAGCUUUGAAACGUGCUGUUUAAAGAUAGCAUUUAUUGUGGGGUUAUUGUUGUGACAAAACACCUACCUACUAUUUCCUGUAAAUCAUCAUGUACAAUAUCAAAUCAUAGUAUCGUAUGUUUGUUUAUGUUUGAUAUUUAUUGCAAGAGGGGCCAUUUGAUCUAAUCUCUCGUCCAUUUACAGUCUAUAAGUACAUACGCUGGAAAUGAUUGUACUGAACGUUUUUGGCCACAGACAUAUUUGUUGAACAAAGAAAAACAAGGAUUUUAGAUGAGAAUCCACAAAGAUAUUGCACGAUGAUAAGAUUGUGCAGUUCAACACCACACAGGAAGUGGACGCAGUAUUGUGAGACGUUCAUGAGUUGGUUUGUAUCAGUUUAGACCAACAUCAACAGCACAUUCAGGCU